GACGAAUGCUGGCUGCGUGCUUAACACAUGCAAGUCGAGCGGUGAAGGAGAGCUUGCUCUCCGGAUCAGUGGCGAACGGGUGAGUAACACGUGGGCAACCUGCCCUGCACUUUGGGAUAAGCCUGGGAAACUGGGUCUAAUACCGGAUAGGACUACGGCCUUCAUGGGUUGUGGUGGAAAGCUUUUGCGGUGUGGGAUGGGCCCGCGGCCUAUCAGCUUGUUGGUGGGGUAAUGGCCUACCAAGGCGACGACGGGUAGCCGGCCUGAGAGGGUGACCGGCCACACUGGGACUGAGAUACGGCCCAGACUCCUACGGGAGGCAGCAGUGGGGAAUAUUGCACAAUGGGCGCAAGCCUGAUGCAGCGACGCCGCGUGAGGGAUGACGGCCUUCGGGUUGUAAACCUCUUUCAUUAGGGACGAAGCGCAAGUGACGGUACCUAUAGAAGAAGGACCGGCCAACUACGUGCCAGCCGCCGCAGUAACAC
rnacentral:rRNA from 1 species